rnacentral:rRNA from 1 species
UACAGAGGUCUCAAGCGUUGUUCGGAUUCAUUGGCGUAAAGGGCGCGUAGGCGGUCAGCACAAGUCAGUUGUGAAAUCUCCGGGCUUAACUCGGAAAGGUCAACUGAUACUGUGCGACUAGAGUGCAGAAGGGGCAACUGGAAUUCUCGGUGUAGCGGUGAAAUGCGUAGAUAUCGAGAGGAACACCUGCGGCGAAGGCGGGUUGCUGGGCUGACACUGACGCUGAUGCGCGAAGCCAGGGGAGCGAACGGG